rnacentral:rRNA from 1 species
AGAGUUUGAUCCUGGCUCAGGAUGAACGCUAGCUACAGGCUUAACACAUGCAAGUCGAGGGGAAACGACAGAGAGUGCUUGCACACUUUGGGCGUCGACCGGCGAAUGGGUGAGUAACGCGUAUCCAACCUGCCCUUGACUGAGGGAUAGCCCAGUGAAAACUGAAUUAAUACCUCAUGUUCUCCUCUGACGGCAUCAGACGAGGAGCAAAGAUUAAUCGGUCAAGGAUGGGGAUGCGUCUGAUUAGGUAGUAGGCGGGGUAACGGCCCACCUAGCCGACGAUCAGUAGGGGUUCUGAGAGGAAGGUCCCCCACAUUGGUACUGAGACACGGACCAAACUCCUACGGGAGGCAGCAGUGAGGAAUAUUGGUCAAUGGGCGAGAGCCUGAACCAGCCAAGUAGCGUGCAGGAUGACGGCCCUAUGGGUUGUAAACUGCUUUUAUCAGGGGAUAAAGUGAGGGACGUGUCCCUUUUUGUAGGUACCUGAUGAAUAAGGACCGGCUAAUUCCGUGCCAGCAGCCGCGGU